rnacentral:lncRNA from 1 species
UGUGGGGGGGAGGACGCUGCUGCUCCCUUUCAUCGCACGGCGUCAGCCCCACGGAAUCUCUGAGUAAGGUUCUGCUCCGAGCAGGGCGGCUCCUGGCCUCGCUCCAGCUGCUCCUCCUGCACAGCACAGUGCAACACAGCACAGCACAACAGUGCACAGCACAACACAGCACAGCACAACACAGCACAACAGAGCACAGCUCAACCUGGCAACGGUGCGCGCCACGCUGGGCAUUGCUCCAAGCGUUGCUCUGUGCUGGGCAUUGCUCCAAGCUUGGCUCCGUGCUGGGCAUUGCUCCAAGCUUGGCUCCGUGCUGGGCAUUGCUCCAAGCAUUGCUCCGUGCUGGGCAUUGCUCCAAGCGUUGCUCUCUGCUGGGCAUUGCUCCAAGCAUUGCUCUGUGCUGGGCAUUGCUCCAAGCAUUGCCCUGUGCUGGGCAUUGCUCCAUACCAUGCAUUGCUCUGUGCUCCAAGCAUUACUCUGUACCAUGCAUGCAUUGCUCUGUGCUGGGCAUUGGUCUGCACCAUGCAUGCAUUGCUCUGUGCUGGGCAUUGCUCUGCACCAUGCAUUGCUCUGUGCUGGGCAUUGCUCUGCACCAUGCAUGCAUUGCUCUGUGCCGGGCAUUGCUCUGUGCCGGGCAUUGCACCGUGCAUUGCUCUGGGCAUUGCUGUGCACAUUGCAUUGCUCCAGACAUUGCUCUGCGCCUUGCUCCAUGCAUUGCUGUGCACAUUGCAUUGCUCCAGACAUUGCUCUGCACCGUGCAUUACUGUGCACACUGCUCCAGGCAUUGCUCCAUGCACUGCCCUGUGCAUUGCUCAGUGCAUUGCUCUGGGCAUUGCUCUGUACCGUGCAUUGCUCUGGGCAUUGCUGUGCACAUUGCAUUGCUCCAGACAUUGCUCUGCAUAUUGCUCAGGGCAUUGCUCUGCACCUUGCUCCAUGCAUUGCUCUGGGCAUUGCUGAGCACAUUGCUCCGUGCAUUGCUGAGCACAUUGCUCCGUGCAUUGCUGAGCACAUUGCUCCGUGCAUGGCUCCGUG